CCCGCACAAGCGGUGGAGCAUGUGGUUUAAUUCGAUGAUACGCGAGGAACCUUACCUGGGCUCAAAUGUAUGUUGACGUAUUCUGAAAGGGAUACUUCUUCGGACAAUAUACAAGGUGCUGCAUGGUUGUCGUCAGCUCGUGCCGUGAGGUGUCGGGUUAAGUCCCAUAACGAGCGCAACCCCUAUCAUUAGUUGCCAUCAGGUCAAGCUGGGGACUCUAAUGAAACUGCCUACGCAAGUAGUGAGGAAGUGGGGAUGACGUCAAAUCAGCACGGCCCUUACGUCCAGGGCUACACACGUGCUACAAUGGCCGGUACAAAGGGCAGCUACCUGGUGACAGGAUGCUAAUCUCAAAAGCCGGUCUCAGUUCGGAUCGGAGUCUGCAGCCCGACUCCGUGAAGCUGGGAUCGCUAGUAAUCGCGCAUCAGCCAUGGCGCGGUGAAUACGUUCCCGGGCCUU
rnacentral:rRNA from 1 species